rnacentral:lncRNA from 1 species
AUUCUUUAUGUAUCCAUGUAUCUCAGUUUCUGUUAACUGACCCCACUUAUCUAGAAUUGGCAGAGGGAAAAAGGCACAUGAAAAAUUAGAUACAGAGAAAUUCAUAUACAAGUGAAAUGAUUUCUUGGGCGAGAUGAAUAAAGGUAAACGCAGUAGAAAGACACGUAGCAGAUAACUAGAUGCAGUCUUGUAGGCUAACCUGAGGUUUUACUUCAACAAUGUGUUGGCCACUCUUGACUGAAACGGGUUCAUUUGCCAGAACACUCUCAAGGUGAUCAUGAAGUUCCUUAGCCUGACACGAGCCAAAAUCUGGAUCUGCAAGCUGGUAAUUCCAGACGAG